ACGGAAGGCAGCAGUGGGGAAUAUUGCACAAUGGGGGAAACCCUGAUGCAGCGACGCCGCGUGAAGGAAGAAGUAUCUCGGUAUGUAAACUUCUAUCAGCAGGGAAGAAAAUGACGGUACCUGACUAAGAAGCCCCGGCUAACUACGUGCCAGCAGCCGCGGUAAUACGGAGGAUCCGAGCGUUAUCCGGAUUUAUUGGGUUUAAAGGGUGCGCAGGCGGGCUGCUAAGUCUCCGGUGAAAUGUCAGGGCUCAACCUUGGCACUGCCGGAGAUACUGGCGGCCUUGAGAGUGGCGGAGGUAUCCGGAAUGUGUGGUGUAGCGGUGAAAUGCAUAGAUAUCACACAGAACACCGAUUGCGAAGGCAGGAUACCAUACCAUAUCUGACGCUCAGGCACGAAAGCGUGGGGAUCGAACAGGAUUAGAUACCCUGGUA
rnacentral:rRNA from 1 species